GGCGAUGUAGCUCAGCUGGUUAGAGCACGCGACUCAUAAUCGCGGUGUCGGCGGUUCAAGUCCGCCCAUCGCCACCA
rnacentral:tRNA from 1 species